UACGGGGGGUGCGAGCGUUGUCCGGAAUCACUGGGCGUAAAGGGCGCGUAGGUGGCGUCGUAAGUCUGUGGUGAAAGCCCGGAGCUCAACUCCGGGUCUGCCGCGGAUACUGCGAGGCUUGAGUGCUGUAGAGGGGGGUAGAAUGCCGGGUGUAGCGGUGGAAUGCGUAGAGAUCCGGAAGAACACCAGUGGCGAAGGCGGCCCGCUGGGCAGUGGCUGACGCUGAGGCGCGACAGCGUGGGGAGCAAACAGG
rnacentral:rRNA from 1 species